rnacentral:rRNA from 1 species
GACGAACGCUGGCGGCGUUCCUAAUACAUGCAAGUAAGACGCAGUUGCGAACGGGUGAGUAACGCGUAGGUAACUGCCUAUUAGAGGGGGAUGACUAUUGGAAACGAUAGCUAAUACCGCUUACUGGUAGAUGGACCUGCGUUUUAUUAGCUCGUAGGUAGGAUAAUGGCCUACCUAGGCAACGAUACAUAGCCGAUGUGAGAGGGGGACUUGCCACACUGGGAAUGCGACACGUACCAGAAUCCUCCGGGAGGCAGCAGUAGGGGAUCUUCGUCAAUGGGGGGAACCCUGACCGAGCAAUGGCGCGUGAGUGAAGAAGGGUUUCGGAUAGUAAAGCUCUGUUGUUAAGGGAGCGGUACGUAACCAGAAAGGUAAGGCUAACGACGUGCAAGCAGCCGCGGUAAUAC